rnacentral:rRNA from 1 species
UGGAUUAGCGGCGGACGGGUGAGUAACACGUGGGUAACCUGCCUCAAAGUGGGGGAUAGCCUUCCGAAAGGAAGAUUAAUACCGCAUAACAUAAGAGAAUCGCAUGAUUUUUUUAUCAAAGAUUUAUUGCUUUGAGAUGGACCCGCGGCGCAUUAGCUAGUUGGUAAGGUAACGGCUUACCAAGGCAACGAUGCGUAGCCGACCUGAGAGGGUGAUCGGCCACAUUGGAACUGAGACACGGUCCAGACUCCUACGGGAGGCAGCAGUGGGGAAUAUUGCGCAAUGGGGGAAACCCUGACGCAGCAACGCCGCGUGGGUGAUGAAGGUCUUCGGAUUGUAAAGCCCUGUUUUCUGGGACGAUAAUGACGGUACCAGAGGAGGAAGCCACGGCUAACUACGUGCCAGCAGCCGCGGUAAUACGUAGGUGGCGAGCGUUGUCCGGAUUUACUGGGCGUAAAGGGUGCGUAGGCGGAUGUUUAAGUGGGAUGUGAAAUCCCCGGGCUUAACCUGGGGGCUGCAUUCCAAACUGGAUAUCUAGAGUGCAGGAGAGGAAAGCGGAAUUCCUAGUGUAGCGGUGAAAUGCGUAGAGAUUAGGAAGAACACCAGUGGCGAAGGCGGCUUUCUGGACUGUAACUGACGCUGAGGCACGAAAGCGUGGGUAGCAAACAGGAUUAGAUACCCUGGUAGUCCACGCCGUA